rnacentral:rRNA from 1 species
GACGAACGCUGGCGGCGUGCUUAACACAUGCAAGUCGAACGGAAAGGCCCUGCUUGCAGGGUACUCGAGUGGCGAACGGGUGAGUAACACGUGGGUGAUCUGCCCUGCACUUCGGGAUAAGCCUGGGAAACUGGGUCUAAUACCGGAUAUGACCUUCCAUGUAGUGUGGGGGGUGGAAAGAUUUAUCGGUGUGGGAUGAGCCCGCGGCCUAUCAGCUUGUUGGUGGGGUAAUGGCCUACCAAGGCGUCGACGGGUAGCCGGCCUGAGAGGGUGGACGGCCAAAUUGGGACUGAGAUACGGCCCAGACUCCUACGGGAGGCAGCAGUGGGGAAUAUUGCACAAUGGGCGGAAGCCUUAUGCAGCGACGCCGCGUGGGGGAUGACGGCCUUCGGGUUGUAAACCUCUUUCGACAGGGACGAAGCUUCGGUGACGGUACCUGUAUAAGAAGCACCGGCUAACUACGUG